UCCUUUCUGAGCUCUCUCCUUCUCAGCCGCCGAAACCACUUUGACAAAGGCUCUGUGUGCGCCAUUGCGAAACCUACCUCUCUCUCAUCCUCUCUGACAAAGGCUCUGUCCUGCCCAAUCCUCUCUGCGCAAAACCUCCUCUCAGGAAAACCUCUCUGUCAUCCAGCGCCUCUGUCAGCCUCCGUUUCUCUCUGAGCCGCCACCUCUCUCAGUCGCCGCCAUCACAGAUUCAGCACAGCAGUUCGCAGCCACCUCUUCAUUUUAUUUACCUCUCUUUCUCUCUGUCAGGAGACUUCAAGUGGCACUGUCCCAAUAGCACGCACCAUUCAUUAAUUUAGGUUUGAUUAGCAGCAGUUCGUGAAGAUCAGCAGGAAAUUUCUGGACAAGUUUGCAGCUUCCAGCAGCAUUUCUGCCACCCUCUGAGGUAUUCCGGCAGCAGUUCUGCCACUUUCUAUAGAUUUUUUAAUUGUUUUUUGUGGAUAAAUUUCCUCUGUUUGUAAUUGUUUUCAUCUGCCAAAUUCAUGUUAUAAAGAAGAGUUCUUGUUUGUAUACACUUCUGGUCAGAUUUCAGGGUCUUCAUUUGCUAAUAUUUGCCUUGUGUUGUGAAUAGAUUAAUCUGUAGAGAAUUAUGAAUUUGGGUUCUGCCACUUGAGGAUGUAUAUAUACAGCUUUUAACUCUUAAACUGUUUUGUUCUUAUAAUUUAGAAGAAUACAAGUUGAAGAGAAUAUUGACAACAA